GCCCUCAUCGUCUAACGGUCAGGACGCCGGAUUCUCAUUCCGGCAAUCGGGGUUCGAUUCCCCGUGGGGGUGCCA
rnacentral:tRNA from 1 species